AAAUCUUUUGUCGUGCUCAUUCUCGCAGUGGCCUUGACGCCCCCUCCCCUCCCUCUCUCUGAUUUCUUCCUCUUCUCAGUGUUGCGUAGUCUAUGUGAAGUACUCAUUAUAGUAUCUCCUAUUUCCUUUUCAACUCGCACCGCUAACCUACACUCACCGGUGAAGGUGAUCAACAGCAAUGCCGGUCCCACCGCCACCGCCUCCACCGCCUCCGCCUCCACCGCCGCCGCCGCCGGCCAACGCCGGAGGGCCCAGCGCCAGCGUUGGCGGUGCUGCCGCCGCCGUCUUUGCAGAGAUCUGCCAAGGCGGUGACAACAUCACCGCGCGUCUGCGUCACGUGACGGAUGACCAAAAGAUGUACAAACAGAACGUUCGGCAUGGUGAAGUCGACAUGAGUGAGCUGGAGCACAAAAAAGCAGCCGCCGAGGAACGUCGUCGCGCACAGCAGCAAACCGAGCGCACCACCGGAGAGGAGGCGGCGCAGCCGCCGGUGCUGACGUUAGAGGGGGACAAGCGGUGGGUCGUCAAGUACCAAGCCGGCAGUCCAGCGGAGCAGCUGCAGUUGGAGCUCGACAAGGCAGAGAUGCGCCACGCCGUUCGUAUCGAGAAUUGCCAUCACGCCUACAUCACGAUCACCAACAAGGUUAAUUCCGUGAGUAUCGUCAACUGCACCAAGGUGCAGGUGGCUCUGCAGGUCAUCGUGUCCUCGCUCGAGGUGCUCAGCUGCGCUGACGUCGACGUGCAAGUGGCGCAGGCGGCGCCAACCAUCGACAUUGAGCGCUCGACGAGUGUGAACGUAUACUUGCUGGACAAAGAUGAGGCGCGCAACACCGAGAUCGUCACGGCGUGCAGCUCCACCGUCAACGUUCUCUUCCCCUCGGAGAAGGACGAGGACAUUGUUGAGCGUGCCAUUCCGGAGCAGUUCGUCACGCGCAUCGUUCCGGACGGCAAGGGAGGCCACAAGCUCUGUACGAAGCCAAGUGAAUCCUUCUAAGCAAUCACCGCCACCGCCGCCUCCCCUUCUUGUGUGUACACUUUCGGUUAUUUCCGAUGCCUACUCCAGGCGCAUUAUGCGGGGUAUGGUGGCUGCACGUGCUGUUGCUGUGUUUUUGCUCUCUUUGGUUUCUGUACCCAUGCUCAGCGGUGUUACAGAAGCUACCAUGCGCUUCCAUCACUCCUUUUCCACUUCUCUCGUGUUCGUUACGUCAGCGUGCUGCACUACCACCCAGACGCCCCUCUCCGCCCCAGACUCACAAGGGUUGAAAGGGGACACUGAAAAAAAAAGAAACAGAAAACAAAAAGCAGACCACCGCAUGAGCUGUCGUGUUUACUUUGUUUGCAUGGUCCCGACACGUCUCCCUCCCGGCCGCUGCUUCUCCGCGUCACGGCGAUGUGCGAUUACCGCCCGAGGCCGCUAGUAAAAGCACGCACACGCGCAGACGCUCACGUCCGAACGGCGCCGCGUGUCAUGCGCACAUGCUCCUCCCUUAUCCACCGCCUGUGUUGCUGGUAUGGCCGUCCUUCUACCGCUUGCCAUGCUCACGCAUCUCGUCUUAAUCCUCUUUCGGUGUUGGCGCUUUGGGGUUUUCGUGUUUGCGCUCUCCGUCCAUCUGCCAUCCUCGCGCCUCACGUUGCAUGGCUGCCCAAGCGAGAAAAAAAAAGAGAAGCGGGAAGCGCGCCCCGAGCUGCUUCGUGGAAGCUGUUCCGCCCACGGACUGGCCCCCUUGUUUCUCUGAGUCUGGCUCCUCAUCUUGGUCCACACACCCCUCUCCUUUCUCUUCUUCGCCCUUUACCUCUCACGCGCACGGACAG
rnacentral:misc_RNA from 1 species